ACACUCCUACGGGAGGCAGCAGUGGGGAAUAUUGGACAAUGGGCGCAAGCCUGAUCCAGCCAUGCCGCGUGAGUGAUGAAGGCCCUAGGGUUGUAAAGCUCUUUCACCGGUGAAGAUAAUGACGGUAACCGGAGAAGAAGCCCCGGCUAACUUCGUGCCAGCAGCCGCGGUAAUACGAAGGGGGCUAGCGUUGUUCGGAUUUACUGGGCGUAAAGCGCACGUAGGCGGACUAUUAAGUCAGGGGUGAAAUCCCGGGGCUCAACCCCGGAACUGCCUUUGAUACUGGUAGUCUUGAGUUCGAGAGAGGUGAGUGGAAUUCCGAGUGUAGAGGUGAAAUUCGUAGAUAUUCGGAGGAACACCAGUGGCGAAGGCGGCUCACUGGCUCGAUACUGACGCUGAGGUGCGAAAGCGUGGUGAGCAAACAGGAGUAGAAACCCGUGUAGUCCCAUGA
rnacentral:rRNA from 1 species